UGGGGAAUAUUGCACAAUGGGCGCAAGCCUGAUGCAGCCAUGCCGCGUGUAUGAAGAAGGCCUUCGGGUUGUAAAGUACUUUCAGCGGGGAGGAAGGCGAUAAGGUUAAUAACCUUGUCGAUUGACGUUACCCGCAGAAGAAGCACCGGCUAACUCCGUGCCAGCAGCCGCGGUAAUACGGAGGGUGCAAGCGUUAAUCGGAAUUACUGGGCGUAAAGCGCACGCAGGCGGUUUGUCAAGUCGGGUGUGAAAUCCCCGGGCUCAACCUGGGAACUGCAUUCGAAACUGGCAGGCUAGAGUCUUGUAGAGGGGGGUAGAAUUCCAGGUGUAGCGGUGAAAUGCGUAGAGAUCUGGAGGAAUACCGGUGGCGAAGGCGGCCCCCUGGACAAAGACUGACGCUCAGGUGCGAAAGCGUGGGGAGCAAACA
rnacentral:rRNA from 1 species